rnacentral:rRNA from 1 species
CUACGGGGGGCAGCAGUGGGGAAUAUUGGACAAUGGGCGAAAGCCUGAUCCAGCCAUGCCGCGUGUGUGAAGAAGGCCUUCGGGUUGUAAAGCACUUUCAGUGGGGAAGAAAGCCUUGGGGCUAAUACCCUCGAGGAAGGACAUCACCCACAGAAGAAGCACCGGCUAACUCCGUGCCAGCAGCCGCGGUAAUACGGAGGGUGCGAGCGUUAAUCGGAAUUACUGGGCGUAAAGCGCGCGUAGGCGGUCUGAUAAGCCGGUUGUGAAAGCCCCGGGCUCAACCUGGGAACGGCAUCCGGAACUGUCAGGCUAGAGUGCAGGAGAGGAAGGUAGAAUUCCCGGUGUAGCGGUGAAAUGCGUAGAGAUCGGGAGGAAUACCAGUGGCGAAGGCGGCCUUCUGGACUGACACUGACGCUGAGGUGCGAAAGCGUGGGUAGCAAACAGGAUUAGAUACCCGUGUAGUC